AUAAAACAUUUUACUAAUUUUCUAUAAAUAUCUUAAAUUUUUAUGAUGUACAAUUUAAUAAAAGUAUAUAAUUAUUUAGUUUUCAAUAUUUCAUAAAUAAUACAUAUAUAUAAGCACUUAAGAAACAUAAUAUGCCCUUACACAAAAAUUAUUUUUGUUUAUUAUUUAAAUACAGAUGCAUUGUUAUUUCAUGUGAACACACAAAAAAGUCUUAUUAAGAGAAAUAAGUACUGGAAUGUUCACAUUUUUUAUUUAAAAGUUUGAUGGCACUAAUACACAGAGAUGAAAGAACGCGAACUAAAGUUUUUCAAUUUUGUCUGUAGGCUAGUUGAUUCUUAUCAUGGUAGUAGAAGAAAAUUAAAUGAUUACCUAUAUAAUAGAGCUGUAAAGAUUAGAUAAUUACAGUUUCGAUAAGAAGUAGAUAGAUAAUUUAGGUCAGAAUAUCUAAUUAGACGAUUUUACAUUCAUUUGGGACUAUGCCAAUUUGUCCCCAUUAAGCAGUUGUUCCCUUUAUGGGGUUUCCCAAUUAAGUGGUUUCUACUGUACUGUGUUAUGAAAUAAAAAUAGAACAUGGGUCUAUAAUUUCAGUUAUUUUAUUUAAUAUAGUUCAAUAGGUUACAAGGAAGGGCCAUAAUAUUUCACUAGUUACUAAUUUUGAAGUCUCUUGUUUGGUAAAUCUUAUUUUGUAAAAGUAGAGGUUGCUCUGCUUUAUUGCAAUAUAUGAUAUACUAUUGGAGCUCCUUUUUCAU